rnacentral:rRNA from 1 species
GCGCGAAACCUCCGCAAUGCGAGCAAUCGCGACGGGGGGACCCCAAGUGCCACUCUUAACGGGGUGGCUUUCAUAAGUGUAAAAAGCUUUUGGAAUAAGAGCUGGGCAAGACCGGUGCCAGCCGCCGCGGUAACACUGGCAGCUCAAGUGGUGGCCGUUUUAUUGGGCCUAAAGCGUUCGUAGCCGGUUUGAUAAGUCUCUGGUGAAAUCCUACAGCUUAACUGUGGGAAUUGCUGGAGAUACUAUCAGACUUGAGGUCGGGAGAGGUUAGAGGAACUCCCAGGGUAGGGUGAAAUCCUAUAAUCCUGGGAGGACCACCUGUGGCGAAGGCGUCUAACUGGAACGAACCUGACGGUGAGUAACGAAAGCCAGGGGCGCGAACCGGAUUAGAGACCCUGG